GCCUGGGUGGCGGAACUGGUAGACGCAUCGGACUUAAAAUCCGGUGGUCAUCUUAUGGCCGUGUCGGUUCGAGUCCGACCCCAGGUA
rnacentral:tRNA from 1 species